rnacentral:rRNA from 1 species
GGACUACCGGGGUUUCUAAUCCUGUUUGCUACCCUAGCUUUCGCACCUCAGCGUCAGUUUCGGACCAGAGAGCCGCCUUCGCCACGGGUGUUCCUCCAGAUAUCUACGCAUUUCACCGCUACACCUGGAAUUCCGCCCUCCUCUACCGAACUCAAGUCCUACAGUAUCAGAUGCAAUUCCUGGGUUGAGCCCAGAGCUUUCACAUCUGACUUAUAGGACCGCCUACGCGCCCUUUACGCCCAGUAAUUCCGGACAACGUUUGACACCUCUGUAUUACCGCGGCUGCUGGCAC